UUGUUUUUUUUUCGAUAGCUUCUCCGAGGCCCAGUUGUAACGCGUCCUAUGCUCGGCGCAUAAUUUUACUCUACGGGAAACUGCGGUAUGAUAAUACCGAUUUAAUUCGGAUAUGAGUAUUUUGUUUUACAUAAUAUACAAUGUCGUAGAUACCCGUAGGUCUACUCGAGCACAAUUCAUUACAUUUUAACAAGUCCCCCGGACGGUACAGUCGCGGAAUACAGCUACAAACGGCGUUUCGUUUUAGAACCGAAUCGGCGACUACAGGACUAUAACGAGAGUAUAAUAUAUUAUUAUGUAUAGCUGGUUUUUUUACGAGCUUUGUUCGCCG